UGUAUAUAUAUAUGUAUAUAUGUAUAUAUAUAUAUGUAUGUAUAGUCUUCGUAUUCGAAGAAAACACUCUUGGCGACACAGUCUAGAUAAUUAGUACUAAUGUAUGUGUGUGUGCGUGUUUUAGACAAUUUCUGCCCCAGAAAUAUGUUAAUUUUAAGCUGAAAGCAAAAAAUAAAAUUAAACUGCAAAGAUUAGUAUAAAUUGUCAACAAAAAAUAGUAUUUAUAGCUAUUCAAAAAAGUACUAUUAAAUCAAUUAAAAGUAAUAAAAUGAUAAAAGGAAAAUAAAAUAAAAAAAAUAAAGUACAUUUUUGAUUGUUGCUGGUGGAAAACUCGUCGCUUUAAUAAGCACUUGGGCAGCAGGAGGCAUUGCGGACACAAACCUAACUCCUGCGGCACUAGUACUUAGGAAAGCGAUAUGUCCUGGACACAAACUAAAAAACUGUUCAGUUGCAAUAUGUUAGAAUCUUUGGAAUAGCACAAUCCCAAGUGUUGAACAGAGCAACCACGCGUCUGAGAACCUUAAGCGCACAACUGCACGGGGUCUGGGGACUGCGAGGGCUCACACAGUUUCCCCCCCAAGUUUGUCGGCGACAACACGAUUGUGAUUAUCGCGCCUUUUGCGGGGUCUUAACCCCGCACGGAGAAUUGACCAGUCGUCGUCGUAGGAGCAGCGGCUGCUCGUGCCUCUCUGUCGUUCUUCAAUAUAUAAUACAUAUAGAUUAUAUAUAUUUUAUUUUUGAAAUACAUAUCAUUAUUAUGCA